GUGUCAGCCGCCGCGGUAAUACGGAGGGUGCAAGCGUUGUCCGGAAUCACUGGGCUUAAAGGGCGCGUAGGCGGUUGUGUAAGUCCAGGGUUGAAGGCCCCGGCUCAACCGGGGAAAGGCCUUGGAGACUGCAUGACUUGAGUGAGCGAGGGGAGGGCGGAAUUCCUGGUGUAGCGGUGAAAUGCGUAGAUAUCAGGAGGACGGCCUGUGGCGAAGGCGGCCCUCUGGCGCUCAACUGACGCGGAGGCGCGAAAGCGUGGGUAGCAAACAGGAUUAGAUACCCUGGUAGUCCACGCCCGAAACGGUGGGCACUAGGUGUGGGGCUCGAGAGGGUUCCGUGCCGAAGUGAAACCAAUAAGUGCCCCGCCUGGGGAGUACGGCCGCAAGGUUGAAACUUAAAUGAAUUGACGGGG
rnacentral:rRNA from 1 species